UCUCUUACUGUGACCUCACUAUGCCACAGAGGAUCCAGUUCAGGGUCAGUCAGUUACAUUCCCUAUUAUAAACACCAUCCACUAACUCUCUUCAGUCUAUUGACAUGUAUAUCAUGAAAACAGGGCUAUUAUACAGCACAGAUGAUAUGAUGUCCAGGUUACACCAAAAGUCCAAAGAACCAUUCAGGAUGUUCCUUUUUGUAGCUCACAUUUGCCAUUUACUGGGUUGAGUGACCUAUAGCCUACUGUUUACAUGGCAGAGUUGGAUAAAUGUUAUCAGCCUUAAGAUGAUCAAAUGCUGAAGUGAUGAUGCUUACAUUCUAACACAUAUCAAUAUUUUAAAAAGGGAACAUGUUGUCAACCUCUAUUAUAGUAUGCUGCAUGGAAGAAUACUAGAUUUCAUACUACAACUAGUCAUUACAAAUGGUCUAUGAUCAUAAGAUGCCUUUGGGCCCAUACAGCAUUGAAGAAACCCUACACUGGGGCAGCAGGUUAGCCUAGUGGUUAGAGUGUUGGACUAGUAACCGGAAGGUUGCAAGUUCAAACCCCUGAGCUGUCGUUCUGCCCCUGAACAGGCAGUUAUAACCCACUGUUCCUAGGCCAUCAUUGAAAAUAAGAAUUUGUUCUUAACUGACUUGCCCAGUUAAAUAAAGGUAAAAUAAACACUGUACUGUGCUACAGUAAGUAGCCCUCUGUUGUUCUGAACCAUCUGUUCCACAGGGUAAAGCACAAGAAAGGAUAUUGGUCUGUAUGUUUUUACAUAUAACAACUGCAAAAGCUGCACUAUAAAUUUUAAGAACUUUAAGAGAGGACAGUGUGUGUGUCAUUAUUUAUCUGGCAGAACAUUCAUGCACAUCUGUUGAGAAAUCUGAGAUGAUAUCCCAAACGGUAGUGCGUUACCUUUGACUAGAGUCCUACAGGGCAUGUACAACUAAUGAGCUGUGUGCCUAGAAGGUCUUCCCAGGCCCAGAGUCCUACAGGGCAUGUACAACUAAUGAGCUGUGUGCCUAGAAGGUCUUCCCAGGCCCAGAGUGUUGGGUUUAGGAGUUGUUCCACCUACGUGAGGUGGUAGGUAGAGGGUGGUAUUCACCAGGAACCAAAUGGAAGUAAAGGGGUGGAUACGGGGGCGGACCUCACUGAAUUUAUCCAAUCAAAAAGUGUCCUGUUGCAAAGCGUUUUGGAGGUGUUCUCAGAUGAAGAGGAUUCAUCACCACAUCCAGCAGAAACAUCUGGCUCUAGAAAGUGGGAAAAGGAACUUUUUGGUACAUCUUUCUUGUCAACUGCUGUAAUUUGAGAGGUUUGGUUGUAAUAGGGGAAAUAUAAAUGUCUAACUGGUUGUGAAUAGUUUUAGUUUGGGAAUGUGUGCAAAUGAGAAAUGAA
ensembl:lncRNA